AGAGGGGAAAUUGAUUUUUUCUUCCUCCCCUCUCUCCUCCAUCGACGGAUCCUCCCCCAUCUUCUUCCUUUUUCUUCAAAACUCCAUGGGAGCCGAAGACCAGCGAAGACCGAGCUGCCAUCACCGCCUCUCGCCGCCGUCGUCGCACGCCCGCAAGCCACCGGAGCUUCUCGUGCGCACCCAAGCUCGUCGUCGAGCUGCUGUCCGCACGCCUCCGCCCCUCUCCUCCCUCUGGUUCGAACAGAACCGAAUAGCAUAAGCAGCGUCCAGCGUCGCCGGAAGGAGCCGCGACCAGUUGCUUGGACGCCGCCGCACUGGAGCUGCUGCGCCGCCGCCUUCGCAACGCCGCGCGCUCCGCCGCCUCACGCUCGCACCUGCCGUCCCCGCCGUGCGACCCAGCCCCUGUUCCGCCUCUGUUCAGCUUCGUUCGGCCACCUCAGGCCGCCGCCCGACCACCUCCGGCCACCGUGUGCCGCCACCUUGACCCGUCGGAGUCCCCUCGCCCUCCACCGACCUUGUCCGGCUCGAAUCAGCCUCGGAACCGCCCCUUCCAGCAGCAAUCAGAGGGCUGGAAAAAUGGGUAUCGCAGAGGGUUUUGGCCCGUUUUGGCCGCCUUCCCAAGCCCGAAUGCUCAGCCCGCUUUGAGGAAAGUUGAUCCUCGCGUCGAGCCCGUCGUUUUGAGACCUGGAUGAGGAGUCUAAGGAGCAUGAAUCUGAUGAGGAGAUCCCUGUUGAGGAACCUGAAGAGGAGUACGUGGAGGAGGACCCCGAGGAUAACCCCGAGUAUGAUCCGGAUGAGGAUUGGGAUCCCGUCCUGUCUUGUCAAACCUUGUGUGCAUGUGAAUAGAUGUUAGACCUGAAGUGUAUAUAUAUACAUAAGGAUGUGGUUUUCAGGUUCAGGUUUCUAGUCCUACUUGUAUAUCCCAUUGCUUUAUUGUCUGGGGAUUGUUAUAACUACUUCCGCAUGUGCUAUUAAAAAUGACAGGGUCGGCGAUA